AAAAUAAAAUUUCUUCAAAAAAAAAUUACCCUAAAGAUCAGAGAUAGUAGUAUAUAGCUAAGUAUCCCUUUUUCUCUGUUAAUGACAAACAAAUAAAAAUCAUUUAAUUUCAUUAUUAUAACCAUUUUAAUUACAGACGAAAAUAUUAAUCUCAUUAAGUCACAUAUAAUCAUUUUCUCUUGAAUCAUGUACGUUUUUGUCUACAAAUUAAUCCUCAUCU
rnacentral:lncRNA from 1 species